rnacentral:rRNA from 1 species
AGAGUUUGAUCCUGGCUCAGGACGAACGCUGGCGGCGUGCCUAAUACAUGCAAGUCGAACGAACUCUGGUAUUGAUUGGUGCUUGCAUCAUGAUUUACAUUUGAGUGAGUGGCGAACUGGUGAGUAACACGUGGGAAACCUGCCCAGAAGCGGGGGAUAACACCUGGAAACAGAUGCUAAUACCGCAUAACAACUUGGACCGCAUGGUCCGAGUUUGAAAGAUGGCUUCGGCUAUCACUUUUGGAUGGUCCCGCGGCGUAUUAGCUAGAUGGUGGGGUAACGGCUCACCAUGGCAAUGAUACGUAGCCGACCUGAGAGGGUAAUCGGCCACAUUGGGACUGAGACACGGCCCAAACUCCUACGGGAGGCAGCAGUAGGGAAUCUUCCACAAUGGACGAAAGUCUGAUGGAGCAACGCCGCGUGAGUGAAGAAGGGUUUCGGCUCGUAAAACUCUGUUGUUAAAGAAGAACAUAUCUGAGAGUAACUGUUCAGGUAUUGACGGUAUUUAACCAGAAAGCCACGGCUAACUACGUGCCAGCAGCCGCGGUAAUACGUAGGUGGCAAGCGUUGUCCGGAUUUAUUGGGCGUAAAGCGAGCGCAGGCGGUUUUUUAAGUCUGAUGUGAAAGCCUUCGGCUCAACCGAAGAAGUGCAUCGGAAACUGGGAAACUUGAGUGCAGAAGAGGACAGUGGAACUCCAUGUGUAGCGGUGAAAUGCGUAGAUAUAUGGAAGAACACCAGUGGCGAAGGCGGCUGUCUGGUCUGUAACUGACGCUGAGGCUCGAAAGUAUGGGUAGCAAACAGGAUUAGAUACCCUGGUAGUCCAUACCGUAAACGAUGAAUGCUAAGUGUUGGAGGGUUUCCGCCCUUCAGUGCUGCAGCUAACGCAUUAAGCAUUCCGCCUGGGGAGUACGGCCGCAAGGCUGAAACUCAAAGGAAUUGACGGGGGCCCGCACAAGCGGUGGAGCAUGUGGUUUAAUUCGAAGCUACGCGAAGAACCUUACCAGGUCUUGACAUACUAUGCAAAUCUAAGAGAUUAGACGUUCCCUUCGGGGACAUGGAUACAGGUGGUGCAUGGUUGUCGUCAGCUCGUGUCGUGAGAUGUUGGGUUAAGUCCCGCAACGAGCGCAACCCUUAUUAUCAGUUGCCAGCAUUAAGUUGGGCACUCUGGUGAGACUGCCGGUGACAAACCGGAGGAAGGUGGGGAUGACGUCAAAUCAUCAUGCCCCUUAUGACCUGGGCUACACACGUGCUACAAUGGAUGGUACAACGAGUUGCGAACUCGCGAGAGUAAGCUAAUCUCUUAAAGCCAUUCUCAGUUCGGAUUGUAGGCUGCAACUCGCCUACAUGAAGUCGGAAUCGCUAGUAAUCGCGGAUCAGCAUGCCGCGGUGAAUACGUUCCCGGGCCUUGUACACACCGCCCGUCACACCAUGAGAGUUUGUAACACCCAAAGUCGGUGGGGUAACCUUUUAGGAACCAGCCGCCUAAGGUGGGACAGAUGAUUAGGGUGAAGUCGUAACA